rnacentral:rRNA from 1 species
AUUGAACGCUGGCGGAAUGCUUUACACAUGCAAGUCGAACGGCAGCACGGACUUCGGUCUGGUGGCGAGUGGCGAACGGGUGAGUAAUACAUCGGAACGUGCCCAAUCGUGGGGGAUAACGUAGCGAAAGCUACGCUAAUACCGCAUACGAUCUAAGGAUGAAAGCGGGGGAUCGCAAGACCUCGCGCGAUUGGAGCGGCCGAUGGCAGAUUAGGUAGUUGGUAGGGUAAAGGCCUACCAAGCCGACGAUCUGUAGCUGGUCUGAGAGGAUGAUCAGCCACGCUGGGACUGGGACACGGCCCAGACUCCUACGGGAGGCAGCAGUGGGGAAUUUUGGACAAUGGACGCAAGUCUGAUCCAGCCAUUCCGCGUGCAGGAUGAAGGCCCUCGGGUUGCAAACUGCUUUUGUACAGAACGAAAAGGCUCUGGUUAAUACUUAGGGCUCAUGACGGUACUGUAAGAAUAAGCACCGGCUAACUACGUGCCAGCCGCCGCAGUAA